UUCGAUUUAGUCAAUGUGGUUAUUGUUGAUAGUGGAUUAUGCUAAUGCUACUAAUAAUAUGUUUUUGUAACUAUUGUUGUCCAUAUCAUUAGCAUAGUACUCCUAUGUUACGCAAAAUUUAAUACAUAUAUCAAAUAUUUUAAAUGUAUAUUAAUAAUGUACAUACUUAAUAAAUCACUAACUGAUGAUGAGGUAAAUUAAAAAUGCAGUAGAUUUCAGUAUAAAAAUUAAAUAAUGAAUUCAGAUGAUUCUUGUUAAGAGCUGGUGAGAAAGGGAUGUUUUCAACUUCAGAUGAUAUAUUCUAGUAGCAAAAAAUUAUAACAACCCAAAUAAUUCAAAAAUGGCAGUGAAUGAGGAAGAGUUCACACUGACAAAUCAUCAUUUUUGAAUAAAUAUAAAAUUAAUACAUGUCAAAGUAUUAAUCAUUUAAUUCAAAACUAUUUAAUUCUCAUUUGAAAAUCAGUGAAAACCAAAAAAUAGAACUCAAAUUUGAUUCUGUUUAUGUUGCUAAAAAAAACGAACUCAAAUUUGAUUCAAAAACAUCAACCAUAGGAAAUGACAUACGGAAAAAACUACAAAAAUCAAACAAAUUAAAAAUCAUAAGGAAACAUAGAAAGAAUUGAUAAUCAAAAAUAAAUAUUAUUUAUAGCAUAAACUAAAACAUAACUUAUAUGCAUCAUGAGGAUUCUCUCAUCCCCUUACUAUUAUUUGAGGAGCAUUCUAAAUAAUAAGCCUUUGCAUCAUGUGUUAUUAUCAAGAUUGUCAUUACUUAUGUGUCAUCAUGAGAGCUCUUUUCAUAACAUUUAUUGAAUAACCCUUGCUUGCCUAGACUAAUUACAUAUAGUGUCAUUGUACAUUUAAGUUUCAUAUUUAUGCAUAAUAUAAUUGGGUUUGAUGGAUUAUACAUAUAUCUCUUAUUUUCAUGCGAGUUUUAAAAAUGUAUUUAUUGUUUUCAUGCUUAUAUCUUCUCAUUCUUUCUUGGCUGUAUUUUGUUUUUACAACCUAACAAUAGUAGUCAACUGUAUUGUAAUCAAUAUCGCAUUGUAAACAAGUUUUUAUUUCUUAUAUUUCUUAUUGGAUGAUUUACAUUCUAUAAAUAUAAUAUUGGUGUAUGAGUUUUAUAUGGAGUAAUAUGAGUUUUUAUAUGGAGUGAGAACACAUUUUGUAGUUUGAAAAAAAUAGGACCAUAUAUUGAUCAACGUUGUAGAAAGUUGCUAUAUUUCUAAUAAACUAUAGUUUACUACAUAAAUAUAAUGCAUAAUCUAACCUUUUUUUUUAAUGGUAUACGUACUAUGUAAGCGUAUGGUUUAGAUAUUAUAAUUAAUAUAAUGCAUAAUAUAAUCUUUUUUAAUCUUGUAUGUACUAUGUGGUGCCCAAACAAAUUUAGUGACUAUAUAUAUGGCAAUUUUUCAAUGCAAUUUAAUAAUAUUUGCCCAAUAUUUCAAAUCAUUGAAUCACUAUAAAUGGCAUUACUUUCCGUUAUAUAUUCACAAAUUUGUAUUCCGAAAAUUAUUAUAGGAAAGUUUUGACUCAGACCAGUAUUCAUAUGGAAAUUAGAACAAUUUGUGCUACAAUUAUUUAUUAAUUUAAAGUUCUAUACAAAUUCUAUUCAAUUUCUUAGAUUAAGAACCAAGAUUCUGAAAUUAAGAAUUCAACCCAUCACAACACGUCAAUCUGGUUAUAUCCGAUCAAAUUAAUUUACAAAUUUAAUUUUGUUUCCUAUAUGUUGAUUUCUUAAUUAUAUUACUUUCCAUAAUUUUAAAAUUGGCAGCUAAAAGUUAGGGAUUAAUUCGAUUUGAUUUAGGCUAUAUAAUACUCUUUUCUCUCUAUUUUUUCAUGCAAAAACCCUAUAAGUGAUCCCUGUAUAUAACAUUAGACUAAAAUUCAUCCACAUCAAAACCUACUAUUUUUCUACAUACAAAAAAAAUCAUGAAUUUCGUCUCUGAUUUUGCUUACAUUGUUUUUUUAUCAUGAUAAGGUCGAUUGAAGAAUGUGAUUAACAUUGAUGGGUUUCAAAAAUUAUUUUUGAACCUAAUGAUGUUCCAUAAAUCGUUUUUUUUUUCAGAAAAAGGUAUAUCAUUUCGUUUACUGAAUUCGGUAAAUAUAUGUGUUUAGCUUGGUAAGUUGAUACUUUAUUAUGGCUUUCUAUAGAAUUGCAAACCAAAAGUUCUGAAGACACUUCUAACAGUAGUUGUGGUUUUAUCAAUUUUUUAUUUGUUUCUUUCAUAUUUUAUUAUUCUGUUGCAUAUGUUUCGUUUUAUUUUAUUUUCAUAAUUUAUAUUAUGAAAACAAUAAUGCUCUUGCUUUUUUGUUUUAUCUUAAAUCCAUAAUAAAUUUAUAUAAAUCUUUAGUUACUCUUUUAGAUGUAUUUCCAUAAAAUAUAAUUAAAAUACAUCAAUAAAUUAGUCUAUAUAGUUUUAAAGUUAUAAUCUUUUUUAGUCCAUCACACUGCGCAGGGCGCAGGUUACCACCUUGUUUUUAUUAUAGAUGGAUUAUGUCUCUCGUCAAAGUCUGUUAAGUAAGCAAAGUUGACCUAUCCAUAAGAAAAAGGGGUUGGAGAAAACUAAGCCAGCAAAGGAAAAAGAAAAAUACUUUGUCGACUUCAUCUUAUUAACAAAAAAGAGGAAGUUGUUUAAGGAGAACAUUCACAAAUACAAGAAGUUGACAGAGAAUUAGGGUAUAUAAACUCAUUGUCUUAAAACUUUUUUCUUGAAGAGUUAAUCGCCUUAGGUCAAUUUUUUAAUUAUUUUUCUUGUAACCAAUCUAGAUUUCUCUGAUAAACGUUUUUCAAGUAACCCACCAUUGAAUUCGUAUUUUCAUCUCAAACACGUUGGAUUCAAAUUCAACAAUUUCUCGUAAAUAAAAUAAAUAAAUAAAACUUAUCGAGAUAAACAAUAAUAUGAAAUGUGAAAUAAAUAAUAAAAUUGGUUUAUAUUUUUUAGAUGUAUUUUUUUUCCAUCUCCAAAAUGAACAUGUAUAACUGGUAAAAAAAAUAUAAAUAUAAGUAUAUGCAUCAUGCACGGAACCAAAAAAUAUGAAGGUGUCUUCUUCAUUUUAGUUAUUUUGAUUCUUAACGUUUCUGAGACUUUUUGCUUUUUAUUUGACGUUAUACUCUGCUUAAAAUCAGAUAAAUGAUAUUGAUAGACGACACAAAUUAAAAUAUGUUUUAAUUUAAAGUAUUAGAGCCAUGAUGCUGAUGCUGAUGUUUUGUUCAUCUUUCAAUAUAUAAACUUUGGAAGUGAACUCCUAUGAAUUAAAGUGCCAAAUCACCUUGUUCACUUAUUUCCUGUUGAAUUUGGUCAUAGUAAGACUUGGAGGAUCUCUACACACAACUUGAGAAACACAAAAUUUUGUUUUAUUCAUAACUCAUAACCAUAUUAUGUACAUAGAGAAUGAUAGAAAGAUACUAAUCAAAAGUAAUACGUACAAAAGAGAAACAAAGUCUCCAAUACAAAUGCUGUUUUAAACAGAGUCAUAUACACUUGGUCGUACAGUCAAAUGAACACAGAUUUAUAUAUAUAUAGACUAUAAGAUAACAUAACAUAAGCUAGAACAUGUAUAUGUUUCAGUUAU